ACCACCAUCUAAAGGAGCAAAAAACAAGGGACAUUUCAUUGAGUCAUUGUACUUUAGAAGAGGAACCAUCCUGUAACUUUAUGCUGUUCACUGCUUUCUAAUCAUUAAUAAAACAAGUGGGAUGAAUGGGAUGUUGGGAAUAUGGGCACAUCCCAAGUAGGUUUUGGAUCCCACUCAUCUUUAUCUUUCUAAUUGUGAUCAGAUGGCCAUUAGUACUUUGUACUAUUCACGUUAAGUGUCGAUAAGAUGCUUCCUCAAUA